rnacentral:rRNA from 1 species
AGUGAACGCUGGCGGUAGGCCUAACACAUGCAAGUCGAACGGCAGCACAGUAAGAGCUUGCUCUUACGGGUGGCGAGUGGCGGACGGGUGAGGAAUACAUCGGAAUCUACUUUUUCGUGGGGGAUAACGUAGGGAAACUUACGCUAAUACCGCAUACGACCUACGGGUGAAAGCAGGGGAUCUUCGGACCUUGCGCGAUUGAAUGAGCCAAUGUCGGAUUAGCUAGUUGGCGGGGUAAAGGCCCACCAAGGCGACGAUCCGUAGCUGGUCUGAGAGGAUGAUCAGCCACACUGGAACUGAGAAACGGUCCAGAAUCCUACGGGAGGCAGCAGUGGGGAAUAUUGGACAAUGGGCGCAAGCCUGAUCCAGCCAUACCGCGUGGGUGAAGAAGGACUUCGGGUUGUAAAGCCCUUUUGUUGGGAAAGAAAAGCAGCAGGUUAAUACCCCGCUGUUCUGACGGUACCCAAAGAAUAAGCACCGGCUAACUUCGUG